rnacentral:lncRNA from 1 species
GAUAAAUCAAAGAAAAUUUAUUUGAUAAUAGUUAUUUGGCAUAUAUAUGAAUAUGAUUUUAUCAUGUAUUAAAGACAAAAUCAAAUACUUUUAUUUAUUUUUUUUGCAUAUUUUAUGCUCCUUUCCAAUCAGGGAGAUUACUAAGGGACAGUUCCUACCACAGGCUGCACUUACACCCAUGGAGGGAGGCUGGAUGGUAAGGAUGGAGAUCAUUGGCCGGGUCCAGCACCCCAAAAAACUUUUCAGGAGUUAUCAGACUCGGGAUAUGAACCCAGGUCCUCCUGUGUGGUACAUUGACAACAUUACCACUUGGUCAUCUGGCUGCUAAAGUCAAAUAUCCGUACUAAUGAGCUGGAUGUACUUGUUUACUUUUAUAUAAAGACUUAAAUCUUGGAUAAAGAUUUGAUACUGCAGGAAAUAAGCUUCUUCAACAUUUUACAGAGUUGACCAGUUUUUUGAUUUUAUAAAUGUUAAUUAUGCUGAAAAUGCCGCUUCACAUAAAUACUUAAUACA